rnacentral:misc_RNA from 1 species
GAUGAAGAACGUAGCGAAAUGCGAUACGUAGUGUGAAUUGCAGAAUUCAGUGAAUCAUCGAAUCUUUGAACGCACAUUGCACCUCUCGGUAUUCCGGGAGGUAUGCCUGUUCGAGCGUCAUUUGUACCCUCAAGCUCUGCUUGGUGUUGGAUGUUUGUUCCGCCUCUGUGUGUGAACUCGCCUCAAAACAAUUGGCAGCCGGCGUACUUGUUUCGGAGCGCAGCACAUUUUGCGAUCCAGAUCAACGUACAGCGGCAUCCAAGAAGCCUUAUUUUUAACGCUCUUGACCUCGGAUCAGGUAGGGAUACCCGCUGAACUUAAGCAUAUCAAUAAGCGGAGGA